AACGAACGCUGGCGGCGCGCUUAACACAUGCAAGUCGAGCGAGAACCAUGGCUUCGGCCAUGGGGACAGCGGCGAACGGGUGAGUAACACGUGGGUAAUCUGCCCUCGGCACUGGGAUAGCCCGGGGAAACCCGGAUUAAUACCGGAUGGCCUCUCGAGCUCUUGGGCUCGUGAGAAAAGGUAGCUUCGGCCUCCGGCCGAGGAGGAGCCCGCGGCGGAUUAGCUUGUUGGUGGGGUAAAGGCUCACCAAGGCGACGAUCCGUAGCUGGUGUGAGAGCAUGACCAGCCACACUGGGACUGAGACACGGCCCAGACUCCUACGGGAGGCAGCAGUGGAGAAUCUUGCGCAAUGGGCGAAAGCCUGACGCAGCGACGCCGCGUGCGGGAAGAAGGCCUUCGGGUUGUAAACCGCUUUCAGGAGGGACGAAGCCACUCGGGUGAAUAGCCCAGAGGGUGACGGUACCUCCAGAAGAAGCCCCGGCUAACUACGUGCCAGCCGCCGCAGUAAGAC
rnacentral:rRNA from 1 species